rnacentral:rRNA from 1 species
CAAUAGCGUAUAUUUAAGUUGCUGCAGUUAAAAAGCUCGUAGUUGGAUUUCGGGUGGGAAUGGCCGGUCCGCCGUUUCGGUGUGCACUUGCUACGCCCACCUUGCUGCCGGGGACGUGCUCUUGAGUUCACGCUCGGGACACGGAGUCGGCGAGGUUACUUUGAGUAAAUUAGAGUGUUCAAAGCAGGCCUACGCUCUGAAUACAUUAGCAUGGAAUAACACGAUAGGACUCUGGCCUAUCUUGUUGGUCUGUAGGACCGGAGUAAUGAUUAAGAGGGACAGUCGGGGGCAUUCGUAUUUCAUUGUCAGAGGUGUAAUUCUUGGAUUUAUGAAAGACGAACUACUGCGAAAGCAUUUGCCAAGGAUGUUUUCAUUAA